GUGGGGAAUUUUGGACAAUGGGCGAAAGCCUGAUCCAGCAAUGCCGCGUGCAGGAAGAAGGCCUUCGGGUUGUAAACUGCUUUUGUACGGAACGAAAAGGCCAGCCCUAAUACGGCAGGCCCAUGACGGUACCGUAAGAAUAAGCACCGGCUAACUACGUGCCAGCAGCCGCGGUAAUACGUAGGGUGCGAGCGUUAAUCGGAAUUACUGGGCGUAAAGCGUGCGCAGGCGGUGAUGUAAGACAGUUGUGAAAUCCCCGGGCUCAACCUGGGAAUUGCAUCUGUGACUGCAUCGCUAGAGUACGGUAGAGGGGGAUGGAAUUCCGCGUGUAGCAGUGAAAUGCGUAGAUAUGCGGAGGAACACCGAUGGCGAAGGCAAUCCCCUGGACCUGUACUGACGCUCAUGCACGAAAGCGUGGGGAGCAAACAGGAUUAGAUACCCCAGUAGUCC
rnacentral:rRNA from 1 species